UACAGAGACUGCAAGCGUUAUUCGGAUUCACUGGGCGUAAAGGGUGCGCAGGUGGUCGUGUGUGUCAGAUGUGAAAUCCCGGAGCUUAACUCCGGAACUGCGUCUGAAACUGCACGACUAGAGCAUUGGAGAGGGUAGUGGAAUUCACGGUGUAGCAGUGAAAUGCGUAGAUAUCGUGAGGAACACCAGAGGCGAAGGCGACUACCUGGACAAUUGCUGACGCUCAGGCACGAAAGCGUGGGGAGCAAAAGGG
rnacentral:rRNA from 1 species